rnacentral:rRNA from 1 species
UACGGAGGGUGCAAGCGUUAUCCGGAAUCACUGGGUUUAAAGGGUGCGUAGGCGGCUAAAUAAGUCAGAGGUGAAAGCUUGCAGCUUAACUGCGAAAUAGCCUUUGAUACUGUAUAGCUUGAAAGGAGCUGAGGUCAGCAGAAUGUGGCAUGUAGCGGUGAAAUGCAUAGAUAUGCCAUAGAAUACCAAUUGCGAAGGCGGCUGGCUGGGCUUACUUUGACGCUGAGGCUCGAAAGCGUGGGGAUCGAACAGG